rnacentral:rRNA from 1 species
GAUGAACGCUGGCGGCGUGCUUAACACAUGCAAGUCGAACGGAAAGGCCGAAGCUUGCUUCGGUACUCGAGUGGCGAACGGGUGAGUAACACGUGGGUGAUCUGCCCUGUACUUCGGGAUAAGCUUGGGAAACUGGGUCUAAUACCGGAUAUGACGAUCUCUUGGAUGGGGUUGUGGAAAGCUUUUGCGGUAUGGGAUGAGCUCGCGGCCUAUCAGCUUGUUGGUGGGGUAAUGGCCUACCAAGGCGUCGACGGGUAGCCGGCCUGAGAGGGUGUACGGCCACAUUGGGACUGAGAUACGGCCCAGACUCCUACGGGGGGCAGCGAUGGGGAAUAUUGCACAAUGGGCGCAAGCCUGAUGCAGCGACGCCGCGGGGGGGAUGACGGCCUUCGGGUUGUAAACUCCUUUCGCAAUCGACGAAGCCUUUUGGUGACGGUAGGUUGAGAAGAAGCACCGGCUAACUACGUG